GAUGCAAAACAAACCGCACUACUGACGCAGGCUACACACCAAGUCAAGAGGACACAUGCACAUUCAUUUAUAUUAUUCACAUUUUUGAGAGAAACAUUGCUUGUAAUAAAUUGAUCUGGUACGAAAUAUUGGAGUGAAAUUGGACUAAUUGCACUUUGGAGCUUGUAAUACCUGAUAAUACUCGUUUAAAAAAAAAAAAGAUAUACUCGUUUUGAAGAAAGGAACACACGCUAUCAACAUAGAACGUUUGCACGAGCAUCAUAGGCAUGUUGUUCUUUCGCAGAACCUGAGAUUUGGAAGACGCUUUGUAUUUUUCUUUUGAGAGGAGUUCUCCAUUGUCUUUCAAUAUAUUCUUCAAGAAACAACAUUUUGAUAAUCUGCUUUGAAAUAUCAAGCUAGCUUGUAUAAUCUCGACAUUAAAAAACACUUCGAACGAGAACGUCAAAUUGCAUUUGUUUGCGGCCAGUCUAAUCUGUAAGUGAACUUGUUGAAAAAAUAUUCGAUUGAAGCAUGGCUGGAUAAAUCUAUAUAAAACUUUUACUUUAAUAAAUACCAAGUUUUGAAAGUUUUCUCAGACACCCGUGAAAAGAUACACAGUCUCGUUUGGCAACUCUCAGUAUCAGCACAGACAGGUGAGGGUGAAAGAAAUUCAAAGAUGAUGGUAGUUGAGCAUGCCAGUCGCCCUGCUACCAAGCAGCAUGGGGAGACUGACAAGGACAAGGAUGGGAAAGAACGAAAACCUCGGAACUCUGGGGAUAUAUUGGCCCGACGUCGCUUCGAGAACAUUCGGAAGCAUUCGGCACGCACUCGACAUCGUACCGGUAUCGUCAACACCGGUGAAAAGAACAGACUGACAAUCGUAGAAAAUCAAAUGGUGAAGGCACACAAGGUGGCGGAGGCGAGGAUCCAGCGCAUGAAGCUCCAGCUUAGGCGGGAGCUCCACGAGAUGGAGGCUGGGAGACGAGCCCUCAGGAGACGCUCCAUUUGCGUUAGAGAUGAGGACAGGGAUAGAGAUAGACAGGAUCUGUCAAAGUAUUGCCAAAGAGGGCGUUAUCUUUAUGCCAUGCGGAACGAGGUGAAGACGCAAAAGGAAGAUAUGGAUUCUUACAACGAACGUCUCGAGAAGGCGAGGAAGAUGCUACAACCAGCUAAGAAGAACAGCUCAUUAGCAAUGGAUCGAGGAAAACUAUUAGGACUGGCACCGUCCAAUUCCUAUCUCAAGGUGGGUCGUCGUAUUAGCGUGGUCGAGGCACCACCUGCAGCUAAGCUUCUCGCCUUUCAAGACAGCGACGAUGACGACGACGACAUCGAGGAGAUCUCAAAGGCGAUGCCGGUUAAGAUAAAUCUUGAGAAGAGUGAUCUUAGGGCGAAGUCUCUAAGCAGUACCAAGACACCGCCGCCUUUUGACGUGAAUCAGUUGAGGAAAGAGUUUGGACCUGAGAUGCGGAAAGCCUUGGAGAGUUUGAUGAUGGAUGACCCUAGCGUCAUGCUGGCCAUGCCCGUUUCGAGGGAAACAACUCGAGGAAGCAGAAGAGACUUUGAGAAUUAUGGGACACUGGAGCAACUCGCAGAUGCAAACAGACCAAACGAAGGGUCACAGCCGGACAAUCAGCCUCCAGAAAAGACUGGAGAUGCUGGGAAACUUAAACUGCCACCGGUACAGGUGGAGAAAUCGCUGGUUGGAAGGAUUCCAAAGAAUCACAAAGUAACUGCUGCCGCCAAACCUCUCCUGAGUACAGUUACAGAAACAUGAACAAAACAAUUUGUGGAACGCACACUGACUCAGGAAUCAGCAAAGGACGCCGAAGACCGUUGAUAAAACUUAUCAACCGUUAAGUAGAAGGACAUCAAAAAAUAUCUUUGUUGUCGGUUUUCUCUGUAGCUCCAGGUGACAACUUUGAAUAAUGAACAAUCAAUAUCGAGGUAUACAGAAGCUCUGGCAAGCAAAUAUAAAGCUACACAUUCGUCCGUCCCGUUCAACAAUAUAAAUUGCACUUUUUUAAGACAGUCGAAAGCCUCUCUUUAAUGGUUGUGGUAAAUUUCAUAAAGUAUAAUGUCUAGUCUAGUUUGCUAUAUGAUUCUAAUAUGCGUGUCAUAAAGCGGUUAUGGUGCGAUUUAGAUUCACAUUCAAUAAUGAGUGCCAGCUCGGAAUCAUCAUUUUUACAUAACGAGAUGGGGGCCAUAUUGACACUCGCUCUGAGAACAACAAUAUAUAGCAACAACAAAUUGAUACAUAAUGUAAUAAUGAUUAUCAAUCGGCUAUUCUUCAAGCAUGUCAUAUGAUGGGAGCGCCAGAGCUUUCCAUGUUCUUGGUUUUCAUGAUAUCAUUGGCUUGCAUUAUUAUCAUAUCCGGUGGCGAGAACACACUCUAUCUGUUCUGAAUCCCCUACUCAGUAAAAAAAAGAUGUUUAAAAUUUAUACAACAAUGUUCGCUAUAUAAACCUGACAAUAGUUGUUUAACAGUUUAAGAAACAGUGCUUAAUUUAUUGAGAAUUACAUAUUAAAAAAUAAACUCUGUCGUUUGAGAUUUUAAAACUUGUUCCACCCGUUUACACAACUAUAAUGUAUGUUCCUAAAGUAAACAGCGUUGUAUGAAAAAUGAAAAACAUCGUUUUUAUGAGCGUUUGCAUAUUUGUAUUUAUCACAUUAUCAUAAACGAUUCCAAUGCGAACAUUCAAGGCCAUCCCCAAAAUUAAGUUAGAUAUUUGUUUGUAUCCCCCGCCGUCCCACAUAGUAAAAUCGCAUUUUACAAUUUCAUACAAAAAACAGCGUUGUAUAAAAAAAUAUUCACCGUUUUUACUGUGUAGAAUGGCUUAUAUUUAUUUUAUAAUUACAUUUAUCAGAAAACCUUGCCAUUUAUCAUUUUAAAAAAAUCUAGAAAUGAAUGUUACUCAUUAUGCGGUGUGUAUACCAUGAUUUUUUUGUAGAAUAAAAUGAAAAUAAUAAACAACAAAUAUUUUGCCAAGGUUGUAUAAAUAAAUCGCUUGUCUCUCGUCUCACUUAGCCAAUGCUUGGAUGAUAUUUAUGAAAUUAUUUUGUGUUUAAUUCUAAAAUGUAUAUCACCCUCCUAAAAAACCCAAAUAAAACGGUACCUUUCCCAUAAUCAAGACGUAAUUCUCGCCGGCAUAUAUGGGUCCCAUUGCAUAAAAGUUACUAUUAUUUGUCAUCCAAUGGUAACUACCAUGCUAAUGCUGAUCAGUAGCCAAUCAAAAUCAAUGAUUCCAUGCAAGUUACCAUUGGAUGGCAAAGUUACUAUAUUGGUAAUUUUUACACAAUGGGGCCCAGAGUGAAUUGAUAAAAGUUUAAAGUAUCCAAUAAAUUCAAAUUUUACCAUUAGACCCACAGAAAAUAAUUGAAAAUAAUAAAAAAAACAUAUUUAAUAUUUUUCUGACACUUCCAUGAAGUUUUUCGUCAAUCCAUACUUAACGUCACAUCUCAUCUCCUAAACAAUAAUUCAAUUCACAAUGUUUUUUUUUUCUGUGUAAUAUCAUCGGUUCCAUUAUGUAAUAAUGUUAUUCACACGCUUCACCAACAAAAUGACUCAUUCAGUUUUCCAAUGAUUAUGUUCAUUGUAACAAAUUCAUAUUAAAUCAAUGAACAAAAUAAGAAUGUUGCC